UACGGGGGGGGCAAGCGUUGUUCGGAAUUACUGGGCGUAAAGGGCUCGUAGGCGGCCAACUAAGUCGGAUGUGAAAUCCCCAGGCUCAACCUGGGAACUGCAUCCGAUACUGGAUGGCUUGAAUCCGGGAGAGGGAUGCAGAAUUCCAGGUGUAGCGGUGAAAUGCGUAGAUAUCUGGAGGAAUACCGGUGGCGAAGGCGGCAUCCUGGACCGGCAUUGACGCUGAGGAGCAAAAGCUAGGGGAGCAAACGGG
rnacentral:rRNA from 1 species